AUACCCUGGUAGUCCUAGCUGUAAACGGUGCACAUUUGCCGUGAGAGGAAUCGACCCCUUUCGUGGCGAAGCUAACGCGUUAAAUGUGCCGCCUGGGAAGUACGGUCGCAAGAUUAAAACUCAAAGAAAUUGACGGGGGCCUGCACAAGCGGUGGAGUAUGUGGCUCAAUUCGAUGCAACGCGAAGAACCUUACCUGGCCUUGACAUGCAAGUGGUAGAAGGAUGAAAGUCUAACGAUCCCGCAAGGGAAGCUUGCACAGGUGCUGCAUGGCUGUCGUCAGCUCGUGUCGUGAGAUGUUGGGUUAAGUCCCGCAACGAGCGCCAACCCCUAUGUCCUGUUGCCACCCGAACGAGAGUUCGGAGCACUCUGGACAGACUGCCUCGUCUUAACGAGGAGGAAAGUGGGGAUGACGUCAAGUCAGGAUGGCCCUUACGGCCAGGGCUGCACACGUACUACAAUGCCCGGCACAGAGGGAAGCGAGACCGCAAGGUGGAGCAAAUCCCAAAAAAUCGGGCUCAGUUCAGAUUGUCGGCUGCAAUUCGCCGGCAUGAAGCUGGAAUCGCUAGUAAUGGCGCAUCAGCUACGGCGCCGUGAAUACGUUCCCAGGCCUUGUACACACCGCCCGUCACAUCAUGAAAGCCGUUUGUACCCGAAGUCCACAGCUUAACCGCAAGGAAGCGGUGGCCGAAGGUAUGGAUUGGAUUGGGA
rnacentral:rRNA from 1 species